rnacentral:rRNA from 1 species
CACGUAGGCGGCACCGCAAGUGUGGGGUGAAAUCCCACGGCUUACCCGUGGAACUGCCUGGCAGACUGCGGUGCUAGAGGUUGGUAGGGGAGAGCGGAACUCUUGGUGGAGCGGUGAAAUGCGUAGAUAUCAAGAGGAACACCGGUGGCGAAGGCGGCUCUCUGGUCCAAAUCUGACGCUGAGGUGCGAAAGCUAGGGGAGCAAACG